GACGUAGGGCGCGAGCGUUGUCCGGAUUUAUUGGGCGUAAAGAGCUCGUAGGCGGCUUGUUGCGUCGACCGUGAAAACCCGGGGCUCAACUUCGGGCUUGCGGUCGAUACGGGCGGGCUAGAGUUCGGUAGGGGAGACUGGAAUUCCUGGUGUAGCGGUGAAAUGCGCAGAUAUCAGGAGGAACACCGGUGGCGAAGGCAGCUCGCUGGCCUAAAACUGACGCUGAGGCGCGAAAGCGUGGGGAGCAAACAGG
rnacentral:rRNA from 1 species